CACCAACGGUAGCCUGGAGCAUUCUGCAGGCUGAAAUGCCUUGUUAAUUCACACUUGCUCUGUGAAUGCCUAUGGACAUUGAUAUAUACUAGUUGUAUCAGGCUGUAAGGUUUGUAGAUGAGAUGUUAAGAAGAUGGGAAGAGGAUGAGAAGAACGAGAUAUAGGUAUCUAAUCCUACUUCUUUUGUUGAUCCCAGUCCUAGCAGAAGGUGCUGGGGAGUUCAAAGCUGGUUUUACCCUCAAGGCACAGAGCAUUAGGGAUGGUGAUCUGGUGCUUGAUCUUCACUGGGAGAAACAGGAAUUUCAAGAUUCAAGAUCCAAAUGUGACUCCUGUUUGGGCAGACUGGAGUUCAUCUUUCCAGUGGGCUGGUGAUAAAGAUUCUUUAAAAAACAUCUCUGUGGUUCUCACGCAUAGGAGACAAUACAAGGAUGAUCUGAAAGUCAUGAUGGCAGAUGUACAACAACAGAAGCUUUCUUGGCUUCCUGUUCAGGAAACAAGGAGAAGAAAGUGUCGAGUCGGUUACUCUCACUGUGACCUCCCUCAGUCUUCUCAGAAAGAGGUUCUUCACCGCUCCUCAGGGGGUGAGGCUUUGGACCAGGCUGCCCAGGGAGGUGGUGCAGCCAUCAUCCCUGGGUGUGCUCAAGGAUAGAUGUGGCACUGAGGGACAUGGUCAGCGGGCACGGUGGGUAUGGGUUGAUGUUUGGACUGGAUGAUUUUAGUGGUCUUUUCCAACUGUAACAAUUCUAUAGUUUUACGGAGACAUAAGACUGUGAGCUGCAGGCUCUGUUCCCAUCGUGAGCUAAUGGCAGACAGUCACGGUGAACCAAAGAGAGAUUAAAUGCUUCAGACAGCAUGGGUGGAGGCGGGCCCUCCACGUGGUCCAAAGGUCAUGCAGAGCUGGAUGCAGGCUGUUUUGUACCAUAUCAAAUCCCAGAAGACCUGCUGAGAUAUCGCAUCACUGCAGCCCUUCUCUGGGGCAGCAGAAAAGUCUGGGGUACCUGCCUACCUCCUUGUUAGCUACUACUAGGAUUUAUACUGUCAUAUGGGGAAUGAGCUCAGAUGGCUCUGGGGACUGCAUAUGGGAUGUUAACUUUUCAUCUUCAAGUCACCUCACAGCUGCUGGAUGGGACUACAGCAUGUGUAAGAUGGUCGAAGGAGGAGGCACAGUCCCAUACUACAUGCCCAUGUACAUACCCAUGAACCUCUGUGCAAUUAGUACUAAUUGACCCUCCCCUUGGAAACCACUGCUGAGCAGCCUAAGUGGCCACAUACACAGACCUGAACUGCUGUACAUCUCUCUUAAUAAAACUCAGGUAUUUGGCUUGAAAAAUCCAUUUUGGAGCUCUUGGUUUGAAAAGGUUAAGCACGCCCUGCAGCCAAUUUCAUGCCUUCCUUAAGUGUCAACAUUUGGCUGGUCAAAUAAUUGGGCAAAAAAAAGACUGGAUAAUUUCCAGUGAGUUUAUAGGACAGAUGCUCUGAAAGCCUUCUACCUCCCCCAUCAGGCUGCCCUGCCAUCUAUAUAAAAAUGAGCAGAUAUAAGUGCCAAUUAAAAAAAUAACACCAAAGAAGCAACAAGAUAAAACAAGCUCCAUCCUCUUACGGUAGAUAUCUGGACUGCAAUAUAGAACCUUAAAAAUAUCAUUCCUUGAAGUGUCAUCUCUGUACCUUUAGAGUACAUUUUGCCCAGCUCGGGUUCCCAAGGCUUCCUCAACCCCUCCAUCCCAUAAAAACACAUUUUGUUUCAUUUUGCAUCUGAAUAAGGUGGUUCAGCAUUCUGAGAAAAAUGGUAUUUGGGCAGCAGGUUCUCUUUCAUAGUGAAUUUUGUGAAUAUUUUGUGGUUGCUGAAGGCAAGGAAAAAACAGACCUUGAAAUCCACUACUGAAGCACAACAGGCACCCCACUCUGCUCUCUCACUCCAGUACAUUGCAUAGGUAAAUUAUUUUGGGCGUCAUUUUGUUGAUCAGCCUUACCUGGCAUUCGCCUGCAGCCUGAGCAAAUGCCCACCGCUGUCCAUGAGAUUCAGAAAACUCUUCCAUGAAGGCUAUGUUGAGACCUGGCCCCGACUCCCCUUUGAGAGAGGCUAAAUGGACCUCACUCCUUGAGGUGAACCAGGCUCAGUUUGAUAGUGCCUGGGCUCAAACUGCUGCAUCUUUCAUAGGGUUUAUUGUGUUACCAGUCAGGAACUCCAGAGUCCUGUGGUUUAUCUGCAACUCCUUCAGCUCCUGACAGCAUGCCUCGGGCAGAUCACUUCAGUUCACAGCACCUUUAAUCCCUCUCCUUUUUCACACCAGUGUCAGGCAUAGCAGCUGAUGGCCUUUUGCUCUGAGGGCUUGUUCCCAUACAGCGUACUCCUGAAGUGCCUGACAGAUCUAUAUGCCGCUAUCACAGAGUUCAGGCUACUGUUUUAUGUACACUUAUUUAUAUAUAUUUAUUACUAUUUCAUUUAAUGUUUGUUCAGCUUCUGUUAUAGUUCUUUUCGAAGCAAAUUGAAAUAUAUUUGAAAUUAUUACCAUUAGUACCCG
ensembl:lncRNA